UUACACAACGCGACAGUCACAAACGGAUGCUAUGAGUGUAUCCACCCACGUACAUGGCCUUUUAGUUGGGUCAUGUGUGCUGUAAUGCUUUUACCCAAGACUGACAUAUGCUAAUGGAUCGGGAAAAGUAGACUGACAUGGCUCUCGUCGACGAUGGAAAACGGCGAGCUCUCAACCGGUGGCUAUCCUCGACGAAGGAAACAUCGAUUUCUCUCUCGUGGUGGCUCUCUGAGACGAGGGAGAAUCGGCGAUUGUUUCUCAAGGGAAUCUUAAGAGGCAUGAUCCUGGCAUGAUCCAGAAUCAUAUCAAGCUGCAACAAAAGGGCUACGACUGUUCAGACAGUUCUGUGGGUGUUAUGAAGCGGCAACUAGAGAGAAAAGUAGCGGAUGCAAUGAGAAUGAUGUCCUGAAAAGAGCUCAUGACAAGAAGAAAUUCAUCCUUGAGCAUGCUUGGAAGGAGUUGCGGAACGAUCAGAAGUGGUGUGACUUUGCCACUGCCAAAAAUGAUGGUGGCUCUAAGAAGAGGAAGUGUGAUAAUGGUGCAGAUUCAUCAAGCUCUCAAGCUACUGAAUCAAAGCAUCUCGCGGGUGUGAAGGCUGCAAAGGCCCGUGGUAAGAAGACUAUGGCAGAGGAUAAUGCGCUGAAUGGGUUUCAGAGAAUGUGGGACAUUAAAUAGCAGGACUUGGCAAUGAAGGAGAGAUUAUCAAAGAUGAGUCUACUUGACUCUCUUAUUGCAAAAAAAGAACCUCUAGCAGAAUAUGAAGAAACCCUCAAGGAGAAGCUCAUCAGUGACUUAAUGUCUAAUUAGUUUAAGUGUCAAGCAGAGGGAGCAAACAGACAUAAGGAGUAGAGUUGUAGUCUUGUGGUCUUGUCGUGGAACAAAGAGAGACAAGGAGUAGAGUUGUAGUCUUGUGGUCUUGUCGUGGAGCAAACAGAGACAAGGAGUAGAGUUGCAGUCUUGUGGUCUUAUCGUGGAGCAAACAGAGACAAGGAGUAGAGUUGUAGUCUUGUGUCACAGAGUGAAAGAGUUGUAGUCUUGUGUCACGGAGUUUCGUUCAUGCAUGUUGUCAGGAGUCUUGUUUUUUUUCAACGUGUAUUGUUGUAAUCUUGUGUCACAAGAUGAAGUACCAAAUAUCAUGGUUUGUUCUUUCACAAACUCAUUCUCUAUAUAAAGUCUCGUUGUAUUUUUCACAAACUCAUUCUCUCCUUCUCAUAAAACAAAGAUCAUGUUUUGAUCAAACAAAGAUCAUUCUCUCUUUCAUUUGUAUUUUUUUUUGAACACCAAUAUGAUCGUUUGAUCACAAACUCAAUCCCUCCUCAUAAAACAAAGAUCAUGGUUUGAUCAAACAAAGAUCAUUCUCUCUUUCAUUUGUUUUUUUCUAACACCAAUAUGAUCGUUUGAUCACAAACUCAAAUUCAUCUGUUUUUUUUAACUCUCCAAAAAUGGCAUUUUCUUCUCAUAAUACCUUUAAUGGAUCAAUUGAAGAUACUUUUGAUCAAUAUUUUGAUCAAACGUUCGAGAAUUUUUCUAUUCAUAAUGGUGUUCAAGAAGAAGAAAGGAAAAGAAGGAAAAAACUUGUUUAUAUCGAGAGAAAUCGUGAAGAAUUUGACGUACAUUUAUGGAAUGAUUAUUUCAGUAAAACUCCAACAUACCCUCACAAUCUAUUCCGACGACGAUUUAGAAUGAACAAAUCAUUGUUCAUGCAUAUUGUUGAUCGACUCUCCAAUGA